CAACUUUAAUCCACAGGCGAGUUGGUGUUUAGAACAUGGAUUCAUUGCUGUCUGACUAAACUGACCAUUUAAGUGAAUGUAAUUACACUCCGCAACAGUAGGGGGAAACCCUGAGCCAUACAGGUGAAAAAAUGUCGAUAUUUAUCAGCAGUAAAAUGCACAUUGUCAUUCCUUCACUUUGAAAUGAAAAUAUUUGAAAAUGUCAGUAACAUUUUUUGGGACAAGAGUCCCAAGCUAAGCUUAAAAUAGAGCACUGGUGGUUGACCUUAAUGUCAUUACUCAAUGUUCUGACAAAUAAGCGGGUCACCAUGCCAGUCAGCAAAGUAGCUACCAAAUUAACAUUUCUCGCAGCUGGUACAACGUGCAGCUGGUCGCGACUGUCACUCGAAUAGUAAAACUGAAGGUCAUUGUCUCGCAAAUCUAUACACUGCUACCUCAAUACUUCCUAUAUAUUUAAAAAUAGUCAAAAAUACCCUCAAGAUGGCAAAUUUUUAUAUAAUUGUACAGUCAAACCAGAAUUGGGAAGAAGAGAAUGCUACUUCUUGUUCUUAAAAGGUUUAGUUACGGUAGCAUCUAUGCUAACUGCCAUUAGCCAUCUACAGUGUUUCACAUUUGACGUUAGCAUUACGCUAGUGGGCUCUUGUUCGACAAAACUACUGGUUUGGUUAAACAUUUUAGUGUUUCCGAACAAAAUGUUCGAUUCUAUUUUGUUUUAUGUGUUAGUCUAACGCUAAAUUUUGUGUUAGCAGUGUGUAGCAGACACCUCUACUUCCUUCCUUACAACAUUUGAUUAUAAGGUAGGUAAGGUAGGCUUCACUUCACUGCAUUAUUUCGAUAAACGACACACGACUUUUUUUUUUUUUCCCUUCGACAAUCUUUCAGAUCGCUCCUCUCACUUUAACAGCCCACACUGCCAGAUUCUCCUCUCAAGAUGUGUGGGAGGAAUCACGCAGCAGCAUCUCGGGUGCCUUCAAAUCCCAAACAUAAACAGGGGAGUGCUUUUAGGCCUUUUACACUCAGCCGUUAAGACAUCAAGCUAAUAGCUGUAAUUGCCUUUUUACUGCAUUCUGUCCUUAAUCUUAACAUGCAGAUAUCGGAAAACCUUGAGUGACCUUACAAAAUGCCGCAGGAACUCCAAUAAAAAGUUAUCAUAUCGCAACAAUGGACGUCUAUUCCCGAUAAUAUCUUCGCGUAUUUGUGUGCCGUGACCUGAAAAUUCUUAUUUAAUCCAACCGGAAACGAAUCGGGGCCGUCAGCGAGGAAGCAGCCAUUCUCAUUCUCCUAUUUACAGUUCGGCCAUGCUUUCACAACCUUAAUUAUUUCCAGUGUAAUCUCAAAGAGACGAGCUAAUUAUGCGGCGCCGCUAAAAUGGUUAUAAACCCUCAUGAAUUGCGCUAACAAGAGAUAUCCCAUAAUGUGUCUGUGAUUAACAUUGCUCUCAUUUUUAUGUGUGCCGCUUCCACUGGCUCUGAACACAUUUGAAUGUUGCCAUCAUUGCCAUCAAUUUUUUUUUUGCUACUUGUCAAUCUUUACCAAGGUUAUUAUAGUGUUACUAUAAUAAUGUUAUUAUAAUACAAAAACUAGCCACUAGUUACAAUUAAUUAGAUUAAUUAAAUUAAUUAGCAACAAGCUACUUCCCAAAUAUAGUUAUUAUUAUUUCCAUUUGAAAGUAACGUAACGUCUGUGUAAGAAGUUACUCAUUACUUUUAAGUUACUUUUUAAGUUUGUUGUAAUUCCUCAUAUGAUGCAAGGGCGGCGCUCAAAGUUAAAGUAUAAUGAGGUUUAUAUCGUUAACAUGACAUUACACUUUUAAUGAGGUCUAAGUAAUAAUAUUAUUGGAAUAUAAUGAGAAAAAUAUCUUUUUUAAUGUAUAUUAAAUGAAAGCUUCUGGACUAGAUGUUCCCCCGUGUUUAGUAACAACGGAGAAGUGCAACGCAAAUAGAAAAAGACUUCCGAAAGUUUGCCGAAAGGUUUGUUUAAAAGCACCAGGUGGUGACAUCUUCAUUUUUCACAGGCCCAAAAGUGAGGCUGCACAGCUUUCCUGGCGCUCCCCUAUGCAUUAUUCUUACUUUAAGCAGCGCGUCUCCUCAGGGGGACGAGAAAGGGGAGGGGGGGGGGGUGUAUUGUUUUACAACACACCCAGCUGCGGCCUAGUUGCCUGGCCCGGGGUUCUUUUUCAAGGAGUUGUCUUCGGUGACCCCUCUCUCUGGCAGUUAUUAAUAAUAACACGUGCCGGGGAAUAGUUCACCUUGUAGCGCUGAGGCCGCUGCAUGUAUGUCUAGCCUCAUACGUGAGGAGGGGGGGGGGGGUCUCCAGGGGGGGGUGCGGAGAAAGAACAGGACGAAGUAGGGGGAGGUUCUUGAAAGGUAGCCAAGCUGAGAUGCACACAAAAGACAUCAAAUAAAGUUUCCCCCUCCUUGCAUGUAAUUAGAAUCAGGUAUCAUGGACGGUCUUGCUAAAGCGACGGAGAGUCUGAUUAGCCGCAUCAAAGACGGCCAAGAGGGCCGAGACUUCUGAUGAAGGACGAGCGUGCCGAACGGGAGGGGUGGAAUCAAAAAAAAAAAAAGAUGAAGGCUAAAGAUGCUGAAGUGCCGAGGCUGACAGACUGAGUGCUGCAUUCUCCACCUCCGAGUCGCCCAUUAAAAGCUCGAGCAGGCGAAGCCUUUUGUGCAUGCUGAGUGCUCCAUUGUAAUAACAAGCAGCCCAGAUAGAAUUCAAUCUGGAGCCUCAAUGAAGCCUCCCUGACAAAAAAUUCUACCGCUAACGUGUUCAAAGCGCUCGACAAAUUGAAGGCUGCCUUUUCUUUCCGAGUGCAAAGAAAAUAUUUUAGGUUUCCCAGGAAAGGAUGUGUCGCGUCAGUUUUUUUUUUUUUUUCGGGGGCGGGAAUUUGCGCAGCUUGACAUCCUAAUUGAUUACGCGGAAUGCUGGUUUUAUCGAAAUAUGGCGACGGUGUAAGUAAUACCGGUGGCAUUCAUGGGCACAGCGGGCAUCGUGACCUUUCGCAGAGCCACAUUCGUCAAGACACAGAUGGCUACCUUUGUAAGCCCCGGCUCUAAAAAAAAAAAA